rnacentral:rRNA from 1 species
AUGGUUCGUGCAAUGGGUGGCGGUGGCCUCGGCGCCAUGGGUGUCAUGGGUGGCUUCGGAGGUACCGUGGGCGGUUUAGGUGCAAUGGGAGGCAUGGCUGGCUUUGGAGCACCCCCCGACGCUAUGGCCACGAUGGGAGGCAUGAGUUUUGCUUCUCUCAUGGGAGGCAUGGGUGCACCUCCGGCCGCCAUGGGCGGAAUGUCUUUCGAUGAGCCUCCUCGCACACAUUCCCAUGAAGAUGCCGUUGAAGAUCUUGCCAACACCGUCGGAGCUUCACGUGAUGCGGUGCGCGAGAGGGAGGAAGAUUCAUCUUCGGAGGUGGAAGAAUCGUCUUCUGAAGAUGAGGACGAGGACGAAGACGAGGACGAGGACGAGGACGAGGAAUGA